rnacentral:rRNA from 1 species
UGGGGAAUUUUGCACAAUGGGGGAAACCCUGAUGCAGCGACGCCGCGUGAUUUAGAAGGCCUUCGGGUUGUAAAAAUCUUUUCUAUGGGAAGAAAAGGACAGAACCAUAGGAAUAAGGACCGGCUAAUUACGUGCAAGCAGCCGCGGUAAUACGUAAGGUCCGAGCGUUGUCCGGAAUCAUUGGGCGUAAAGGGUACGUAGGCGGGUAAGCAAGUUAGAAGUGAAAUCCUAUAGCUCAACUAUAGUAAGCUUUUAAAACUGCUCAUCUUGAGGUAUGGAAGGGAAAGUGGAAUUCCUAGUGUAGCGGUGAAAUGCGCAGAUAUUAGGAGGAAUACCGGUGGCGAAGGCGACUUUCUGGCCAUAACCUGACGCUGAGGUACGAAAGCGUGGGUAGCAAACAGG